rnacentral:rRNA from 1 species
UACGAAGGGGGCUAGCGUUGUUCGGAAUUACUGGGCGUAAAGCGCACGUAGGCGGACUAUUAAGUCAGGGGUGAAAUCCCGGAGCUCAACUCCGGAACUGCCUUUGAUACUGGUAGCCUAGAGAUCGGAAGAGGUGAGUGGAAUUCCCAGUGUAGAGGUGAAAUUCGUAGAUAUCAGGAAGAACACCAAUGGCGAAAGCAGCUCUCUGGGACGGUACUGACGCUGAGACGCGAAAGCGUGGGGAGCAAACAGG